rnacentral:lncRNA from 1 species
AUAGAGUGGCAUGUGAGACAUAGUUGAAGAGAUGACAAGGUUGCCAUGUAGUGUAGUGGUGUCAUGGCAGGGUAGCCACAUAAAGAGUGUAAGAGUGAGUUUUGUAUAGAUUUGGGUUUCCUUAUAGAGAGUUGGUCUCCCGUAUUGGUGUCGGUGAAGGUCUCCUCAAAGUAGUGUAGGUAUAAGGUCCACAGAAGAAGUGGUGUCACACCACUUUGGUGCUACUUCUAGAGAGUUGGUGUCACACCAGUUCUAGGGAGCUAGUGUCAAGGUUUGGGUGCUGAUUUCUCAACAUAACUAAAUAUGUCCUUCUGAUAUUAUGUUGCAAACUUAGUUGCACCAUCUAUUUCCCAGUUAGGACAAGGAUUGUAGUAUCUUUUGGUUAAAAAAAUCGUUUAAAAAAUGAUUGCGGUAUCUUUCAUAUUCUUUUCCUGAAUUAUUUGCCGAUGAUUCAUUUGUACAAAUGGAGUCCUCUAAAUUGUCUUAAGCUAUUUCUAGUUUGAUUUUAGGAAAACCGUAGCCAUAAAGAAAGAAACAAACAUUUUACAUGAAUGAAACAAGAGAUAAAUUUAUCUGUAUUCACCAAACAUCCCUCUCACUGAUGGUAAGGGGAGUGAUGUGUCCUGUCAACCACAUAGUUUUCAGAGAUUAUACUUUCCCUUGGUGACCGUCAUUGUUGAUCACGUGGGUUUCUUUUCUCUCUAUCACUCAAAUUUUGUAAGUGCCCCACUAAUUAAAAGGAAGUAAAAAAAGAGGGAAAGAAUUGAUGUAUCAACAUGUGCUUCUCAAUAAAAAAUGGUGAUGAAAAUGAGUUUUGUCCUCUUAACUAGGAACCUUCAAUUAAAUGCAUAUGAUUAUUUAAUUAUGCAGCAUGAUUGACAAUGUCAGGUACAAAAGAAAAUUUGUAUUAACUCACUGAAGCAUGAUUCACAAUAUUUUCAGGAAAUUUGAUGCGAAUUUCUAUUUACUGUGGCAGAGACAUAUCAGGUUCUCAAAACCAUUAUUGUUGCAAAUUUUACCAAUGUGUAUCAACUAUUAAGUAUAUGUUAUGAGUAACUUUUGUUGCUUUUUAUUAAGCUUCGAUGGGAUGUGGAUAUGCCUAUAUAGUUUGAAUAGUUGUUUGGACUUGUUGGUCACUGAAGCGAAGAACCAUGGUUGGUGGACGUGGACCUGCUGAAUAAUAUGUAGCAGCUGUGCUGACGUUUCUAGUAAUAUCCAUUCGAGUCAUUACAAACUGCUAAUUAGUCACCAAUUUGUAACUAGAGAACGAAUAGUUCAGCAAACAUAUGUCCAAUGUACAUGUACUUACAUUUUGAACUGGGUAGCAGUGAAAAAAUUUAUGUUUUUUCUUCGAGCAUGUUGCUGUUUUGACUCAUCUUAAAUGACGAACCAACCAAUUUCAGAAAUAUAGGAAAAGAAGGCUAAUAGAAAAAAGAUUUAUUUUUUUGUGAGGAACGAUAGCACACUGCACUUUUGGCAUUAUACUGCAGUUUUGGGAGCAUAUUGGAAAAGAAAACAACCAACCACUUUAAACAACCAAUCACUUUCAGUAGAGAGCAACGUGUGGAUUUGUUUGAAGUUUACUGACUCAGAUAAACACCACCGUGUGGACCAUAGAGCCAUCAAAUAAAGAUUCACUGAAGGAAUUGCACAAUAUAUAUAUUUGAUGGUAAACAGAAAAAGGAAAAGUCGACAGUGAGAAAGGGUUCGAAAGCUGAAAAUGGCACAUAACUUCUAAUUCACAUAAGAUCAAUUUAGAGAUGCUAGUGCCAUC